rnacentral:lncRNA from 1 species
UGUGACACACUGGAGGGUAUUAGCUGGCCCAGUGAUGAAAGUGUUUCCGGAAAGAGAUGAGUCUAAAUACUGUUAUUUCAGUUUUGAAGACCAGCUGUAAGCAACAUAAGAAGUGACUUGAAUCUUUCAAAAUGAAAUGCUGUCCAUAAUCCCACAUCAUUCUGUAUGGAGGGAUUUUGGAACACAUUUUACAAGGUUUUUGACUGUGUUUUUCAACUGUUUCCAAGGAGAGCCAUUGAAAAACAUGCCCAGUUCUGGCAGAUGUGCAACAGUUUCUUUGUAGACCUGGUCUCCACCGUGUGCUUCAAAGACAACACCCCACCUCAGAAGGAAGUGAUUGACAGCCUGCUGUCGCUACUCUUUGUACACAAGGAACUCUUAAAGGACACUCCCCAAGGACACCGUGAACACACAAAAUCCCUCUCUCCGUUUAACGAUGUUGUCGACAAGACUCCGGUCAUCCGCUCGGUGGUACUGAAACUGCUUUUGAAGUACAGGUAAGAGCACCUACCUUACCUUUGAGAUGUGCUUCUAGAAAGCCUUGACUUCUUUUUUUCAUUAUCAUGGCUUUCUCUUUGCUACCAAAUGUUCUUCUCAUGACUAGUAGCUAGUUCAUGAUCAUGGGAAGGUUUCGGUGAGGGAUGACCUGGCUUGUCUGUCUUGGUUGUGUGUUUCGACACUUUCACACAUAGGCACGGGAGUUUGGUCCACCCACAGCACAUACUUAGCAAGAAGAAAACAGAAUGCCGGGAAGGGACCAUGGUGUUGCGAAGCAAGCAGAACUUGUGAGUUCUGAGUCCUGGUUCAGAGCUACCCAGUUUUGUGAUUUUUUUAGGAUGGUAACUUAGAAUCUCCCUCACCCUCAACGUCCUAGGUGUCCUCUAAGUUUAUGUUCCCCUGAACAUGGGCUCUAUCAGCAUAUUUCCUUGGUUAGAAAGGAUGUUGACAACAUGUAAGAAUAUUGCCAUCUGUGGUCCUUGUGUUGAUGUAGCAUUACGGUUCUGAAGGUGUCGG